UACGAAGGGUGCAAGCGUUAAUCGGAAUUACUGGGCGUAAAGCGUGCGCAGGCGGUGAGCUGUGUCCGAUGUGAAAGCCCCGGGCUUAACCUGGGAAUGGCAUUGGAAACUGGCUCGCUGGAGUGUGGCAGAGGGGGGUGGAAUUCCGCGUGUAGCAGUGAAAUGCGUAGAGAUGCGGAGGAACACCGAUGGCGAAGGCAGCCCCCUGGGCUAACACUGACGCUCAGGCACGAAAGCGUGGGGAGCAAACAGG
rnacentral:rRNA from 1 species